rnacentral:rRNA from 1 species
UAAGGAAUAUUGGACAAUGGGGGCAACCCUGAUCCAGCCAUGCCGCGUGAGUGAAGAAGGCCUUCGGGUUGUAAAGCUCUUUCAGGUGCGAAGAUGAUGACGGUAACACCAGAAGAAGCUCCGGCUAACUCCGUGCCAGCAGCCGCGGUAAUACGGAGGGAGCGAGCGUUGUUCGGAAUCACUGGGCGUAAAGCGUACGUAGGCGGUCCUGCAAGUCAGGAGUGAAAGCCCAGGGCUUAACCUUGGAAUUGCUCUUGAAACUGCAAGACUAGAGUCCCGGAGAGGUUGGCGGAAUUCCGAGUGUAGAGGUGAAAUUCGCAGAUAUUCGGAGGAACACCAGUGGCGAAAGCGGCCAACUGGACGGGAACUGACGCUGAGGUACGAAAGCGUGGGGAGCAAA